rnacentral:tRNA from 4 species
GGUUAUAUAGUCAUAUAUUUAUGAUAUUGAAUUGCAAAUUCAAGGGAGAAUUUUAUUCUGUAAUCU